rnacentral:rRNA from 1 species
AGUGAACGCUGGCGGUAGGCCUAACACAUGCAAGUCGAACGGCAGCACAGUAAGAGCUUGCUCUUACGGGUGGCGAGUGGCGGACGGGUGAGGAAUACAUCGGAAUCUACUUUUUCGUGGGGGAUAACGUAGGGAAACUUACGCUAAUACCGCAUACGACCUACGGGUGAAAGCAGGGGAUCUUCGGACCUUGCGCGAUUGAAUGAGCCGAUGUCGGAUUAGCUAGUUGGCGGGGUAAAGGCCCACCAAGGCGACGAUCCGUAGCUGGUCUGAGAGGAUGGUGCGCCACAGUGGAGCUGAGACACGGCCCAGACUCCUACGGGAGGCAGAAGUGGGGAAUAUUGGACAAUGGGCGCAAGCCUGAUCCAGCAUACCGCGUGGGUGAAGAAGGCCUUCGGGUUGUAAAGCCCUUUUGUUGGGAAAGAAAAGCAGCAGGUUAAUACCCCGCUGUUCUGACGGUACCCAAAGAAUAAGCACCGGCUAACUUCGUG